CCCUUCGUCUUUCUGGGGGUGGGAGGAAUUGUCCGAUUUGCUGCGGCUGAAUUCCAUGCCGGCGAUGAUGGGUCGCUUGAAUUUGCCAGCAGAGUCUCCGCUCGGGCACUUGCAGCAGGACAUGAUCCGGAUGAAGGCCCGACGCAUCUCCUUGUUGGUCAGAGUGUAAAUGAUGGGGUUGGUGCCGGAGUUGAGCACAGCUAACACCAGGAAGUACUCCGCUCUGAAGAGGAUGUCACAGGUCUUCACCUUGCAGCCCACAUCCAGCAGGAGCAGGAUGAAGAGCGGUGCCCAGCAGGCGAUGAAGACGCUCAGGACGAUAAUUACGGUCUUGAGCAGCGCCAGCGACUUCUCAGAGCUGCGGCUGGCCUUGGAAAUGUUCUUGCGGAACGUCAGGCGGCGGCUCCGAGUCCUGACCAAGGAGUAGAUUCUGCAGUACAGAAUGACGAUGGAGAGCAGAAGCAGAGUGAAGACCGUGGUGCAGAAGAGGAUAUAGUGCUUGUGGUAGAGCGGCAGCACGGUGGAGCAGCUGGACAGCGCACUGAUGCAGUUCCAGCCCAUGAUAGGCAGGCCACCCAGGAUGAGGGAGAUGACCCAGCAGGCGCUGAUUAGCAGGAAGAGGCGGAAGUUAUUGCUCCCGUUGUGGAGUUUCAUUUUCAGCAUUGUGAUAUAGCGCUCAAUGGCGAUGGCGAGGAGACUGAACACGGAGGCUGACAGGGCCACAAACAUACUCCCUUCCCGCAGAAACCACUGGGCGGGAGUGAGCUUGUAGGUGGUGGCCCCAGACAAGAGCAGGUUAGCUGUGUAGGCUACUCCUGCCAACAGGUCUGAGAGGGCCAGAUUGCCAAUAAAAUAGUACAUGGGUCGGUGGAAUUUCUUGGUUUUCCAAAUGGUCAGCAAGACAAAGAUGUUCUCCAGGAUGAUAAAGCAGCAGAUGAGAAUGAACACCACCGAGGUCAGUUUAAUGCUGUUCUCCU
rnacentral:lncRNA from 1 species